GCGUACGUACGUCUGCUCAACACAAACAAGCUAGCUAGCCUAGCUCAGAUCUUCCAUCUGCACGUACGUACCGGCGUAAUUCAGCUGAUUGAUUGACAUAGAUGGAGAACAACAACAAGAACAGCCAGCUACAGCCUCCUCCAGGUUACCCGAGGUUGGAUUCGGAGCAGCACGAAGGGAGGAAGAAGAAGAAGGGGCACUGCUGCGGAUCGUCAUGCCGCCGUGCAACUAAACGCGGGGAGGCCAGCUUUAUUGAAGGAUGCAUUGCGGCGCUCUGUUGCUGCUGGCUCUGCGAACUGUGCUGCGACUGAAGAAUUAAGGAACGAUCGAGCUAUAUAUACUCAGUUUUUUAGAUAACAUAUAUAUGUAUAAAAGCACUAUAUAUUCCAUUAUCUAUAAACUGCCAGUAUGUGUAUCGCAUAUGUAUUUGCUCUCCCUAUUAACCAAAUAUAAUUCAGGUUGUUUUAAUUAUAUGCAUGGGUCGAUGUUUGCCCCUCAUACCUUUUUUUGGAUAAGUUUGUCCCACUGUUAAUUUCACAUAAUAUAUAUUGCUCU